rnacentral:rRNA from 1 species
UACGAAGGGGGCUAGCGUUGCUCGGAAUCACUGGGCGUAAAGCGCACGUAGGCGGAUUGCUAAGUCAGGGGUGAAAUCCUGGAGCUCAACUCCAGAACUGCCCUUGAUACUGGCGGUCUCGAGUCCGGGAGAGGUGAGUGGAACUGCGAGUGUAGAGGUGAAAUUCGUAGAUAUUCGCAAGAACACCAGUGGCGAAGGCGGCUCACUGGCCCGGUACUGACGCUGAGGUGGCGAAAGCGUGGGGAGCAA